rnacentral:rRNA from 1 species
CAAUAGCGUAUAUUAAAGUUGUUGCAGUUAAAAAGCUCGUAGUUGGAUUUGUGGCGCACGGCGGGUUCCGGGCACUUGUUGUCUGAGUAACUUGCUGUUGCCAUCCUUGGGUGGAACCUGUGUGGCAUUAGGUUGUCGUGCAGGGGAUGCCCAUCGUUUACUGUGAAAAAAUUAGAGUGUUCAAAGCAGGCUUAUGCCGUUGAAUGUAUUAGCAUGGAAUAAUGAGAUAGGACUUUUUUGCUAUUUUGUUGGUUUGCGCAAAGAGGUAAUGAUUAAUAGGGACAGUUGGGGGUAUUCGCAUUCCAUUGUCAGAGGUGAAAUUCUUGGAUUUUUGGAAGACGAACUACUGCGAAAGCAUUUACCAAGGAUGUUUUCAUUAA